GCACUACUGGUUAGGUCAACUGUUGUUUAACAAGCAACAGUGGCAGGAGGCAAAAGCACAGUUCAACGUUGUGGUAGCGCGC
rnacentral:tRNA from 1 species